rnacentral:ncRNA from 1 species
CGUCGUCCCUCCACAGGGGACGAAUGCACGACGCCGUUCGACGGGGGAAGCCGGUGGGAGUCCGGCACUGUCCCGCAGCCGUGAGCAUCCGAGUCCUCGGGUGUGAGUCGGAAUGCCCGUCAACGGUUCUGUUCAGCU